rnacentral:lncRNA from 1 species
AAUUGCGUGUUAAAAGUAUACUAUAUUCAUGCAGUAUCCACGGACAGUUGAGUUCAUCCUCAAUUACUGAAGUCAUACGGAUAAUCUUUCAAUACUUGGGACAUACUCUAUCUCUUUGUCUUUGCUUCGUAUCAUUCACUCCACUCCUUUUUGUUUUCUGAACAUAUAUUAUUUAGCUACCUUUUAUGAUUCUAUGACAUAUGUACA